rnacentral:rRNA from 1 species
AUUGAACGCUGGCGGCGUGCCUAAUACAUGCAAGUCGAACGAAGUGGCGCGCGGGUGAGUAAUAUAUAGUUAAUCUGCCCUACACAGAGGAACAACAGUUGGGAACGACUGCUAAUACCUCAUAGUGUAGGAUGAGACUAUAUCGUAUCAGCUAGUUGGUAAGGUGAUGGCUUACCAAGGAUAUGACGCGUAACUGGUGUACUAUGAUGAUCAGUCACAUUGGAACUGAGGCAGCGUCCGAACAUCUUGGGGAAGCAGCAGUAAGGAAUAUUACGCAAGCGGGGUGACCCUGAAAGAGCAACGGGGUGUAGAGGAUGACACUUAUCGGAGAGGACAUUUAUUUUAACAGGAAAGCGGUACCUGAUGAAUAAGCACCGGCUAACUCCGUGCCAGCAGCCGCGGUAAUUC